AACCAGCACCUCGAGUGGUCAGGAGGUUUAUUGGGCCUAAAGCAUCCGUAGCCGGUUGCAUAAGUUUUCGGUUAAAUCUAUGCGCUCAACGUAUAGGCCGCCGAAAAUACUGUGCAGCUAGGGAGUGGGAGAGGUACACGGUACUCAAUAGGAAGGGGUAAAAUCCUUUGAUCUAUUGAUGACCACCUGUGGCGAAGGCGGUGUACCAGAACACGUUCGACGGUGAGGGAUGAAAGCUGGGGGAGCAAACCGGAUUAGAUACCCGGGUAGUCCCAGCUGUAAACGAUGCAGACUCGGUGAUGCAUUGGCUUGUGGCCAAUGCAGUGCCGCAGGGAAGCCGUUAAGUCUGCCGCCUGGGAAGUACGUACGCAAGUAUGAAACUUAW
rnacentral:rRNA from 1 species